rnacentral:lncRNA from 1 species
CAGCAGACUAGUUAAAUAAGUAAAUAGAAGGACGUCUGGCUCUCAUCUCCCACAGCUGCCUCACAUUUUUCAAUCCAGGCACCGGGCAGCAGAAGCAGCGGGGGUGGGGUGGCUCCCUGGCAUAAGUCUUUGCCAUGGACAAAAUGAUCAAAACCAGCUGCUCCGUGGAGUUCUUCAUUGAAAGGAAGAGAGAGGUGGAGUUGGCAGUGAAGCGGGAUCUGCAGACACACUUCAGCAUCAAGCUGACUUAUCACUCCUCUGGAAACGGUUAACAUGCCUGGUCCAGCCACCCGUCAUGUGGAUGUGAUGUGCCUCUCAGCAGUUCUGAAGAUGACAGAAAACCCCAGGCCCCACCAGCAGAGCAGCAGAGCAGCAGAGUGGCAGAGUGGCAGAGAAGGAGAGAAGCAGCAGCCAGAUGUUGGAGAGAAGCAGCUUGACUUCAGAGGGACAACUUGGUAGCGGGACCUCGGAGAAGAGUUUGGCCAGGGAUGCCCAAACUCCAGGGGAAGACCACCUUCCCACUCCAUCCCCUUUCCAGCUCCCCAUUCCAUUGAGAGCCACUUCCACCACUAAAUAAAAUCCUCCACAUUCACCAACCUCA